rnacentral:lncRNA from 1 species
GUUGGAAAGAAUGUGGACAUGUCAAGUCAGGCUCAGGGAGAACCACAGCCGACAGUUACAUGGGAUAAGGUUUUGGUAUCAAAGCCCUGGAGUGUUCAGCCCUGCACGGGUCCCCCAGCCGUGACUGGUCAUGGAAGUCAGCAGGCCCAGGCUGCUGUGUGCGUGAAGGCAGUGCGCCUGUGGGAUGAUGUGAGCUACCCUGAGGUUCUCAAGGCCCAUGUGCGAGUGUGGCGGACAGCUGUGGAGGUACAGCUGCUGCAUUUUGACCAUGAGAUCCUUUCUCCUUUUACAUUGCCGGGUUCUCAGGUCCUAAGGUGAGAGAGGAUUUAAUUAGUAUGAGAAUGUCUUCCCUUACUUUCUUCAUUUACUGU